rnacentral:miRNA from 13 species
UGCAUCACGUGUGACCUCCAUAC